UGCAGUCGAGCGGUAACAGGAAUUAGCUUGCUAAUUUGCUGACGAGCGGCGGACGGGUGAGUAACGCGUAGGAAUCUGCCUGGUAGUGGGGGACAACAUGUGGAAACGCAUGCUAAUACCGCAUACGCCCUACGGGGGAAAGGAGGGGAUCUUCGGACCUUUCGCUAUCAGAUGAGCCUGCGUGAGAUUAGCUAGUUGGUGGGGUAAAGGCUCACCAAGGCGACGAUCUCUAGCUGGUCUGAGAGGAUGAUCAGCCACACUGGGACUGAGACACGGCCCAGACUCCUACGGGAGGCAGCAGUGGGGAAUAUUGGACAAUGGGGGCAACCCUGAUCCAGCCAUGCCGCGUGUGUGAAGAAGGCCUUAGGGUUGUAAAGCACUUUCAGGAGUGAGGAAGGGUGUACGGUUAAUACCCGUAUAUUUUGACGUUAGCUCCAGAAGAAGCACCGGCUAACUCUGUGCCAGCAGCCGCGGUAAUACAGAGGGUGCGAGCGUUAAUCGGAAUUACUGGGCGUAAAGCGCGCGUAGGCGGUUUGUUAAGUCGGAUGUGAAAUCCCAGGGCUCAACCUUGGAAUGGCACCCGAUACUGG
rnacentral:rRNA from 1 species